rnacentral:lncRNA from 1 species
AAUCACACGCCACAUCACAAACACUUUCCAACUUUUUUUCCAUUUCUCAAAGAUCAAAACUUAACAAUUUUCCAGAAUCAUCAAGAACAUUCAAACCCUAACCGUUUCUGAACCAAUUCCGAAUCAAUCCAAAUCAGUUCAAAUCAAUCCAAAUCAACUCAAAUCAGUACAGAAUCAACAAGAUCUUUGCAAUUCUCAGAGAUUCUGCAUCGAAUCUUCAUCAUCGAAUUGAGUUUCUUCGCAAUCCAAAGUGAGAAUUCGCCAUUGGCGAACUCCAGCACUGAUCACGAAGGUUUCGAGAGCGUGAAAAGAAGAAAGAAAGAAGCAGAAUCUGGACCGGUGAAGAAAAGGAAGAAUCACUGAUUUAUUUUCAGUUUCAAAGCCGGAAAUCAACACAGAAAGCACAGAAUC